rnacentral:lncRNA from 1 species
CAACAUGACAGAUAAAUUUGGAAGCAAGACAGUUUAUAAAACUCCUUGUUGUAGUAACUAUUUAAAAUCUAGAGUUUAUAUAAAAUUUGUCUUCUUUGGCUAGAUUAUAUUAGUUUCACUUUUUUGUAGAUGAUUUAGUUUUUCUAGCCCAGAUAAUAUUUCAGCAUUCACACACAUUGUAAUAAUGCACAAAAUGUGUUUAGUAUGCUCUUUAAAAG